CCUAAUCCCUGAUGUGUUCUAGUAGACCUAGCUAUCACGGAAUACGGUCGUCCAUAUAGCCGAACAGCCUAAUAUUCAUCCCUCACAUAUAAACCACCUCAUCUCCCGCUUCUGCGAUGCUCAGCCGCCUCUCUUUCUCUCUCUCUCUCUCUCUCUCAACAAGCAAGCUGUUGUUGAGAAAAACUUAAAUGGGCUAAUGGAUGCCUUCUCACUGCCGAAGUUGGGUUCUAAGUUCCGAAAUGAUCACUAGAAGUUUUCCAGCGUUUCCCUUUGGGCAAUGUUGUCCAUGUUAUUUUCAUAGUUGACUAUGACAUGCAUUUUCUGUUUGAAAGUAAGAAAUAGGGCCAAGGAUUUGACCAUGUCUGGCAAGGUUUUCCAAUAUCUUUGUGAACAAUGUUUAGGGUAAAUGAGUUUCUAUUGAGCUCUAUAAUUGUUAAAAUGGUUUUGUUGUUUACCAAAGUGGGAUACUUUUCUACAUAUGUUCCAAACCUAGUUUAGUGCGUGAAAGUGUGUCUUAGAUUCACAUGCAUAUCAAGUGGCAUUUACACAACACAUCGUCUGGGGGGAAAUAGCUGAAGUAAAAGUGGAAAUUUUUGGAGAAGUCACUUGAAAGUGUGGUUGGCAAACACGUUUUCAGCUGAAAGUAAGUUAAUUGAAAUAUGCUUUUGCUGCAAAAAUGUAAUUUUUUAAUUAGCUUCUUCCCCUUUUUAUCACACCUGUUCUCACAAUCCAAAGGGGCUAUAACUAGGGGUUUUUUUUUUUUUUAUCAUAAUAUAUUAAUAUGUCUGAAUGCAAAUUGACUCUCUGAUGAUGAUAGUUGUAGGUCAUGAUUUAUGUAUGAACAGCCUUUCAACGUUUAUGCUUUCACAUUGUAUUGAAUUCUGAAUUGCAUCCCUAUAACGAGUUAAUGAAAAUUUAAAGUAGUGGGCUGAUGAGAACACAAUUCUGAGGGAUGUUGGUUUGAAUUUGUCUUAGUCCAAAUGCUUUUCCUAUAUACUAUUGGUUUUGCUUGCACGCAUCUUUCAGGGGGACCUGUGACUUUUUAGCGUAGCACAUUCUUUGUGGGUUAAAUUCACUUGAUAGUUCUUUGCUUAGAUACUUAUUUCAAUUAAGUCGUUAAUAAUAUAUAUCUGUCUAGUUUUUCAUAUUUUGGAAUGUGCCAGAUAAGUUGACAGUAGUGGAUUGAGAACCACUGACUAGUACCCGUUUGGUACACUUGUUGCCUAAGCUGUAAGUUCCUACAGUUGUUCCAUGUAUCCACCGCAUAGAUUUUUAUUUCAAGAACGGGCUAAAGUUGGUCUCUUGUGGUUGGGGUUCAGCGCCAUGUCUUGCUGACCCAGGGACCCGCUGGCAUAGGACAUUGGACAGACUUAUGGUUGAAUGUUCAUAUUGGUUCUAACUAAAACAAUUGGAUACCACGGAGAGCCCUGGUUGCUGAUGAAUGGACCUGCAGACACUUCCCAAUGGAGAGCAGUUCUUGUUCUGAUUGUUCUCCAGAAAGCCUAUUCCCUCACUUCAAUUUCUUUCGAGCAAUGCUACAAACACAACACUUUACACUACAUUAUGCACAACAUGCCAAUGUGGCAUUGCUUCAUUGGGCAUUGGAAAAGAUCAAUCCACCCAAUUACCAUGGAAACAAUGCCACAUUGGCAUGUUGUGCAAUUUUGUUGUGUUUAAAUGUUUUCCCAUUUCUUUGAGAUGGGAAUUUAGUUAGAUUUCAGAGUAAAAGUAGGAGCUAGGCUGACUAUUUUCAUAGUAUUUUGUAUUUUGUAUGUUUUUUUUUUUUUUUUUUAUAACUCGGGUGUCCAGGCCAACUUAUGUGAACCUCGACUAAUCCUUAGUAUGGACCAUUGGGCUCAGAUAAUCAGAAAUGGGGAUGAUGAAGCCUUUGUACAGCCUAGUUCUUUGGGUGACGAUGCAAAUGAAGCAAUUGGGGUUUCUGAAACGCCUCCAUCCGUUGAGGUUGAAAACAGUGCGGUCGAUUUUGAUGCUUCAGUUGCAUUAAGGACUUUGAACAGCCUAAUGUAAUGUCUAAAUGUUUGGAAGAACUGCAGUAAUGGACAGAUGCAAGAAUCUAGCCCACCUUGCGGUCAAGACUUGAGUGAUGAAGGCCGUUUUUCUGCUGCCAAGUUCCGGUGUUUGGAACCAACUGGUUCGCUUAAAGCUUAUUCCUGGAGCCUUGGCAGAAAUGUUGCUGCCUCCAUUCCAAAGAGCGUUCAACACAAGUUGCCCACAACAACAGAAAGGGGAUUUGCAAAACAUAGAGUCCAUUGAUUCUGCUAAAGAAGCGGAGAGAAAUUUUCUUUAGAACUGUUGGCAGUGGAUCACUCGUGCGGAAUUAAAACAAGUGAAAGUUCAGUUAAAUGUCGGAACCGAAUAGUAUAAUUUAUUGCUUUUAACAUGUGAAGUCUCGUCGUGGGAUAUUGUCAAUUACGGGCUUUACGUUUGGAGUAUCAUUCGUGAAUUUAUGUUCAUUUGGCUUAUAAUAUAUCUCGAAGUUAAAGUUUA